rnacentral:ribozyme from 13 species
AAGAGAGUAAGAGAGUGAGAGAGAGAGAUAAGAAAGAUGAAAGAAAGAAUCUACAAGUCUGAGUUAUCUUUGUGUUCGCUUCUUCAUCGCCUCUCUACUUUUU